AGAUGCGAGAGGAGGCGGAGCUGAGGCUGGAAACACCGCCCAACUGAAUUUCGGCUCGAGAUGGGGUGGGGUCGAGUGUGGUUCCCUCUCAUCAGGCCCCCCGCUCUUCCUUCCUUUCUGGAACCCGGGGACUGGAGAGGCAGCGGGAGAAGCUGCAGGACCAGGGGCCCCGGGGAAAGCGUCCGCUCACAGGCUUGGUGUUCCCAGCGUGGAGGGCGGGGCCCCUCCCGGGGUCGGAGCCGCGGAGUCCGCAGGACCGGUGGACUGCAGCUCAUGGGGGCUGUGACAAGCCCACCCUCUCCUGUGCUGCUUGCUCACAGAGUCGGUAGGACAGGUCGGGGUCAGGGAAAAGCUGUUGCCAGAGGUCUCCUGUCAUCCUUAUGCCAUGGGGGCAGGGCCGUCUGGGCCAGUCGGUGUGGGUGAGCACUUGGAGAGACCGCAGAGUGUUCGGGACGUCCAAUGAGCUUUUAGGGGGCACAGUGAGUAUUCGUGGAGCCCGCGGAGCUUUGGGGAAGCCCAGGAAGCAUUCAGGAGGUCUGGUUUCUUCAGCCGAGAAGGAUUUUCUGUGUGUUUACUCUGUGCGAGUCACCGCCGGCACAUGCGCAUGGGGACAGAAAGAGCCUUCCUGAGUAGGUAUUUGCAACCUAUCCCAGAGCUCUCGUAUCUGAGCACGGAGCCCCUCACAUGCUGCUUCGUUUUGUGAUUUUCGAACUUCCAGCUGCAACGAGGAAAGCCAGUGGUUACAGCAAAGACAGGAGCACAGAAGACUGGCACUCUGACCUCCCACAAAGAAACAUCUGUACCCACAUAGAGAAGAAGACGGUAAAGAGAUGUGUUUUCAAGAAAUUGACUCAUUGACUUUGAGAAACUUAUGGUUACCAAAGGAGACAGGGGUGGGGAGGGAUGGACUAGGGGUUUCGGAUGCAAAGGCUGUAAAACUGGCUUGUGAUGAUGGUUGUACAACUACAAAUAUAAUAAAAGUCAUUGAGUGUAACAUUCAAAAAAAAAA